UUAAAAAGCUCGUAGUUGGAUUUCGGUUAAGAGCGACCGGUCCGCCGUUUGGUGUGCACUGGUUGGUUUUAACUUCCUGUAGAGGACGUGCUCUGGGCUUAACGGUCUGGACUCGGAGUCUACGUGGUUACUUUGAAAAAAUUAGAGUGUUCAAAGCGGGCUUACGCUUGAAUAUUUCAGCAUGGAAUAACACUAUAGGACUCCUGUCCUAUUUCGUUGGUCUCGGGACGGGAGUAAUGAUUAAGAGGAACAGUUGGGGGCAUUCGUAUUUCAUUGUCAGAGGUGAAAUUCUUGGAUUUAUGAAAGACGAACUUCUGCGAAAGCAUUUGCCAAGGAUGUUUUCAUUAAAUCAAGAACGAAAGUUGGGGGCUCGAAGAUGAUUAGAUACCAUCCUAAGUCUCAACCAUAAAC
rnacentral:rRNA from 1 species